rnacentral:lncRNA from 10 species
AGUAACUCCCUUGCUGGGAUGUGCUCUGCCAUGAUCACUGUUCAUUGCCCACAAUCGAUUCUUAGUUUAUAUUAAGGAUUCAUGUAAAAGCCCAGCCAUGCUGUCAGCCUCCUCUCAGAUAUGCAUUCUCUGCUCUCCUGUACACUUUUCUCCUAAGCUCUCAGAAGCAUCUUUCAUCUUACCACAAUUCAACCCACAAUUUCUUGGCCUUGGAAAGGGUUCAGUACAGAGAAGAGAAACCAAGAAUAGCUUUUGGAAGUCUCAUGCCAUGGCUGACAACUGUGACCACCUGAGAUGA